rnacentral:rRNA from 1 species
CCUACGGGAGGCAGCAGUGAGGAAUAUUGGUCAAUGGGCGCGAGCCUGAACCAGCCAAGUCGCGUGAGGGAAGACGGCCCUAUGGAUUGUAAACCUCUUUUGUCGGGGAGCAAAAGACGCCACGCGUGGCGUUCCGAGAGUACCCGAAGAAAAAGCAUCGGCUAACUCCGUGCCAGCAGCCGCGGUAAUACGGAGGAUGCGAGCGUUAUCCGGAUUUAUUGGGUUUAAAGGGCGCGCAGGCGGAAGAUCAAGUCAGCGGUAAAAUUGAGAGGCUCAACCUCUUCGUGCCGUUGAAACUGGUUGUCUUGAGUGAGUGAGAAGUAUGCGGAAGGCGUGGUGUAGCGGUGAAAUGCAUAGAUAUCACGCAGAACUCCGAUUGCGAAGGCAGCAUACCGGCGCUCAACUGACGCUCAUGCACGAAAGUGUGGGUAUCGAACAGGAUUAGAUACCCGAGUAGUC